GAGGGGUAUCCUGCAAAGAAGGUUGAGCCACAUGGUUACUCAUAUUGAUAGAACUUGUAAAAUCAUCUAGAUCACUAGAUGUUUUAACAGAAUCACGAGCUUGGAGAGUAAUCGUUUCAUCACCUACACGAAGUUCUAAUUCAUCUGUAUUAACAUCAAUAAAGUUCUAACAGUUACUAAAAAGGUUCGUCCUAAAAUUAAAGGUAC
rnacentral:lncRNA from 1 species